rnacentral:rRNA from 1 species
AUUGAACGCUGGCGGCAGGCUUAACACAUGCAAGUCGAACGGAGUGGCGGACGGGUGAGUAAUGCCUGGGAAUCUAGCUUAUGGAGGGGGAUAACUACGCGAAAGCGUAGCUAAUACCGCAUACCAUUGGAUCUGCCGAUAUGGGAUUAGCUAGUGGGUGGGGUAACGGCUCACCAAGGCGACGAUCCGUAGCUGGUUUGAGAGGACGACCAGCCACACUGGGACUGAGACACGGCCCAGACUCCUACGGGAGGCAGCAGUGGGGAAUUUUGGACAAUGGGGGCAACCCUGAUCCAGCCAUCCCGCGUGUGCGAUGAAGGCCUUCGGGUUGUAAAGCACUUUUGGCAGGAAAGCGGUAUCUGCAGAAUAAGCACCGGCUAACUACGUGCCAGCAGCCGCGGUAAUAC